CAAUAGCGGAAAUAUUUGCAGAGGGCUUUCUGGGUGACACCCUCAGCAAAUUCAGUAUAUGGGGACUCUAUAUAACAUUUGUACUAGCCGUCGGGCGAUUCAUUAGGCUUCAAUGCUCUGACCUGCGUAUGAGAAUACCUUACGAGAACUUGCCUUCGUGUGACAGAUUAAUAGCCAUAUGCGAGGAUUUAUAUGCGGCAAGAGCAGAGGGUGAGCUUGGAGUAGAAGAAG